AUAUCAAUAAGCGGAGGAAAAGAAACCAACAGGGAUUGCCCUAGUAACGGCGAGUGAAGCGGCAACAGCUCAAAUUUGAAAUCUGGCGCAAGCCCGAGUUGUAAUUUGUAGAGGAUGUUUCUGGCGACGUGCCUUCCGAGUUCCCUGGAACGGGACGCCAUAGAGGGUGAGAGCCCCGUACGGUUGGAUGCCUAGCCUCUGUGAAACUCCUUCGACGAGUCGAGUAGUUUGGGAAUGCUGCUCUAAAUGGGAGGUAUACGUCUUCUAAAGCUAAAUACCGGCCAGAGACCGAUAGCGCACAAGUAGAGUGAUCGAAAGAUGAAAAGCACUUUGAAAAGAGGGUUAAAAAGUACGUGAAAUUGUUGAAAGGGAAGCGUUCAUGACCAGACUUGGGCAGGUUGAUCAUCCGUGGUUCUCCGCGGUGCACUCUGCCUGCCCAGGCCAGCAUCAGUUCGCCCCGGGGGAUAAAGGCUUUGGGAAUGUGGCUCCCUCGGGAGUGUUAUAGACCUUCGCGCAAUACCCUGGGGCGGGCUGAGGUUCGCGCUCCGCAAGGAUGCUGGCGUAAUGGCCGUCAACGA
rnacentral:rRNA from 1 species